UUUCCGUAGGUGAACCUGCGGAAGGAUCAUUCAUAAUAAGUGUUUUAUGGCACUUUAUUAAAUCCAUAUCCACCUUGUGUGCAAUGUCAGGGUUGAUUUUUCUCUCGAGAGGAUCAACCCCAAACAUCAACUAUAUCUCAACUCUUUGUCUGAAAAAUAUUAUGAAUAAAACAAUUCAAAAUACAACUUUCGACAACGGAUCUCUUGGCUCUC
rnacentral:misc_RNA from 1 species